ACGAGAUCUUCGGGUCUAGUGGCGCACGGGUGCGUAACGCGUGGGAAUCUGCCCUUUGGUUCGGAAUAACAGUUGGAAACGACUGCUAAUACCGGAUGAUGACGAAAGUCCAAAGAUUUAUCGCCAGAGGAUGAGCCCGCGUAGGAUUAGCUAGUUGGUGUGGUAAAGGCGCACCAAGGCGACGAUCCUUAGCUGGUCUGAGAGGAUGAUCAGCCACACUGGGACUGAGACACGGCCCAGACUCCUACGGGAGGCAGCAGUGGGGAAUAUUGGACAAUGGGCGAAAGCCUGAUCCAGCAAUGCCGCGUGAGUGAUGAAGGCCUUAGGGUUGUAAAGCUCUUUUACCCGGGAUGAUAAUGACAGUACCGGGAGAAUAAGCUCCGGCUAACUCCGUGCCAGCAGCCGCGGUAAUACGGAGGGAGCUAGCGUUGUUCGGAAUUACUGGGCGUAAAGCGCACGUACGCGGCUUUGUAAGUUAGAGGUGAAAGCCUGGAGCUCAACUCCAGAACUGCCUUUAAGACUGCAUCGCUUGAAUCCAGGAGAGGUGAGUGGAAAUUCCGAGUGUAGAGGUGAAAUUCGUAGAUAUUCGGAAGACACCAGUGGCGAAGCGGCUCACUGGACUGGUAUUGACGCUGAGUGCGAAAGCGUGGGGAGCAACAGGAUUAGAUACCCUGGUAGUCACGCGUAAACGAUGAUAACUAGCUGUCCGGGGACUGGUCUUUGGGUGGCGCAGCUACGCAU
rnacentral:rRNA from 1 species